UUCCACAAUGGACGGAAAGUCUGAUGGAGCGAACGCCGCGUGAGUGAAGAAGGGUUUCGGCUCGUAAAGCUCUGUUGGUAGUGAAGAAAGAUAGAGGUAGUAACUGGCCUUUAUUUGACGGUAAUUACUUAGAAAGUCACGGCUAACUACGUGCC
rnacentral:rRNA from 1 species